rnacentral:rRNA from 1 species
UACGAAGGGUGCAAGCGUUACUCGGAAUUACUGGGCGUAAAGCGUGCGUAGGUGGUUCGUUAAGUCUGAUGUGAAAGCCCUGGGCUCAACCUGGGAAUGGCAUUGGAUACUGGCGACCUAGAGUGCGGUAGAGGGGUGUGGAAUUCCCGGUGUAGCAGUGAAAUGCGUAGAUAUCGGGAGGAACAUCUGUGGCGAAGGCGACACCCUGGACCAGCACUGACACUGAGGCACGAAAGCGUGGGGAGCAAACAGGAUUAGAAACCCCCGUAGUCC